UAGGGAAUCUUCGGCAAUGGACGCAAGUCUGACCGAGCAACGCCGCGUGAGUGAAGAAGGUUUUCGGAUCGUAAAACUCUGUUGUUAGAGAAGAACAAGGACGUUAGUAACUGAACGUCCCCUGACGGUAUCUAACCAGAAAGCCACGGCUAACGACGUGCCAGCAGCCGCGGUAAUACGUAGGUGGCAAGCGUUGUCCGGAUUUAUUGGGCGUAAAGCGAGCGCAGGCGGUUUCUUAAGUCUGAUGUGAAAGCCCCCGGCUCAACCGGGGAGGGUCAUUGGAAACUGGGAGACUUGAGUGCAGAAGAGGAGAGUGGAAUUCCAUGUGUAGCGGUGAAAUGCGUAGAUAUAUGGAGGAACACCAGUGGCGAAGGCGGCUCACUGGUCUGUAACUGACGCUGAGGUUCGAAAGCGUGGGGAGCAAACAGG
rnacentral:rRNA from 1 species